GACAGAGGGUGCAAGCGUUGUUCGGAAUUAUUGGGCGUAAAGGGCGCGUAGGCGGCCGCGUAAGUCAGAUGUGAAAUCCCAGGGCUUAACCCUGGAAGUGCAUCUGAUACUGCACGGCUUGAGUCACGGAGAGGGUGGUGGAAUUCCCAGUGUAGAGGUGAAAUUCGUAGAUAUUGGGAGGAACACCGGUGGCGAAGGCGACCACCUGGACGAUGACUGACGCUGAGGCGCGAAAGCGUGGGGAGCAAACAGG
rnacentral:rRNA from 1 species